rnacentral:lncRNA from 1 species
CUCUCAAAGAGGACUCACUGGAGUGAACACAGCUCUUUGUUGGGGAACGCCCCGGUAUCCCAGAAGGGUUGCCCUACCAGUACUCGCGUGGGGAAUGCAUGAUCAACUCAAUAUGAGAUGCGUCUGACUUUAUUGUGGCAACACACCAUCUUAUAUAGCAUAUAUGCUUCCAGGGAUACAAGGUCCAGGGAUACAAGCUCUAUGCAACGUGCACGCUAACAAUAUCAUUGCCUGAGUUAUCUCCAUAUAUGGGAUAUGUUGUUAACUACAACACUAUGGAUACAGAAUACUAUGGAUAUGCUGGAAUAUACUAGAACACACUGGAAACACCACAUUCCACGUAUCUAGGGAUUACAUCAUUACAUCAUAAAUCAUUAGUAAAUCAGUAGCUACGUGCUGCCGAGCAACCUGCUUCUCAACAGCUCUUGUUACAGUGAGACAGAGCCCAGCAAGAAUCGAGGCAUCAUACUCAAUGUCCAACAUUAAAGCACUGCCUUUACUCAACAACUUCCCCAGCCAACUCAACUCAUUUGGAUUUGAAUUGUGGGCUACUGAUUGUGUGCUGCAGUUAAAGCCUCCUUAUCUUGAAGAAAAGUUAUUACCAAUGCAUUGUGGGAUGCCGGAGCUACUGUUGAGUGUCCAGCAGCUUUAGCAGUUCAUCAGACUGAAACUAGGAACACACAGCAGGUGGGACAUCUGCUUGGAAAGCUACAAUAGCAUCAGUCAAAGAAAUACACACAAAUUAUAAUAAUGACUCAUUUUAAACUCUUUGUGCCUCCAGAAGAACACACAUGUCACAGCUUGCCAUCUUGUUAUCAUCAAGAAAAAGAAAAUGCUGCUUAAAAAUGGAUAAAAUGUAUGUUCAUGUAAACAUACACAUUUUUAGGAGAGGAAGAAAGUGACAAUUAAACUACAUCAAAGUAGGAGGCAAAACACAACACUGAUGAAAGAGAAAAGGCUCCUGGAACUAUGCACAGAGCUAUUUCCAAACAGCUGAAAAAAGCAGCAUCAUUAAUCUACCAUGGAAAUCCACUAAUUUUUAAGGGAGAGGUAGUUAUGUAUAUGCUAUAAAAU